GCAUGUCCAAGUACAGGCUUUUAAACAGUGAAACCGCAAACGGCUCAUUAAAUCAGCUAUAGUUCCUUAGAUCAUUAAUGCUACAUGGAUAACUGUAGCAACUCUAGAGCUAAUACAUGCACUAUGCCCUGAUUCCUUUAGGAAGACGGGUGCAUUUAUUAGAACGGAACCAACCGAAAGCAGGCUUGCUUGCUUUCGUUGAUCUGUGAUGACUCUGGAUAACUUUGAUGAUCGCAGUCGGCCUAGUGUCGGCGAUGGAUCUUUUAAAUGUCUGCCCUAUCAAUUUGAUGGUAGUCUAUUUGCCUACCAUGAUAAUGACGGGUAACGGGGAAUCAGGGUUCGAUUCCGGAGAGGGAGCCUGAGAAACGGCUACCACAUCCAAGGACGGCAGCAGGCGCGAAAAUUACCCACUCCUAGCACGGGGAGGUAGUGACGAAAAAUACAAAUACGGGACUCUUUGAGGCUCCGUAAUUUGAAUGAGUACAGUUUAAAUACCUUAACGAUGAUCAAUUGGAGGGCAAGUCUGGUGCCAGCAGCCGCGGUAAUUCCAGCUCCAAUAGCGUAUAGUAAAGCUGCUGCAGUUAAAAAGCUCAUAGUUGAGUCUUGAGCGUGUGUUUGCUCGCUGUCUUUGUGCGUUGAGUUUAGUUGCUUUUGUCAAUUGGGCGAAGUGUCGAAGGCAGUGUGGCGAGCGUACGUUCUUUCAGUCGUGUUCGCGCAAGCGAGUGUCGACUGGUAAAGUAGGGAAAUUAGCUUAGGCUAAUUUGCUUGCUUGCCGGCCGACAUGCUUCUUUGUUGCCCUUAACUGGGUGCUGGGAGCGUACGACAUCUUUACUUUGAACAAAUUUGAGUGCUCAAAGCAGGCUAUUAUGCCUGAAGAUUCUUGCAUGGAAUAAUAAAAUAGGACUUCGGUUUUAUUUUGUUGGUUCACAAACCCGAAGUAAUGGUUAAGAGGGACAGACGGGGGCAUUUGUAUGGCGGCGUUAGAGGUGAAAUUCUGGGAUCGUCGCCAGACAAACUAUAGCGAAAGCAUUUGCCAAGAAUGUUUUCAUUAAUCAAGAGCGAAAGUCAGAGUUUCGAAGACGAUCAGAUACCGUCGUAGUUCUGACCAUAAACGAUGCCAACUGACAAUCCGAGGCAGUCCUAUAAUUGGCUCCGCGGGCAGUCUCCGGGAAACCCUUAAGUUUUUGGGCUCCGGGGGAAGUAUGGUUGCAAAACUGAAACUUAAAGGAAUUGACGGAAGGGCACCACCAGGAGUGGAGCCUGCGGCUUAAUUCGACUCAACACGGGGAAACUUACCCAGCCCGGACACUGUGAGGAUUGACAGAUUAAAAGCUCUUUCUUGAUUCGGUGGAUGGUGGUGCAUGGCCGUUCUUAGUUGGUGGAGUGAUUUGUCUGGUUAAUUCCGAUAACGAACGAGACUUUAGCCUACUAAAUAGUACACUUGUCUUCCGUGUUUGUCCAGGCUUUUGCAGUUCUGAUUUCCUUGUGGAGUUGGUUCGGCAAAAACUGGCGGGCAUGGUGCGAGUGUCUACUUCUUAGAGGGACUAGCGGUGUUUUAUAACCGCACGAGAUUGAGCAAUAACAGGUCUGUGAUGCCCUUAGAUGUCCGGGGCCGCACGUGCGCUACAAUGGCGGUAACAGCGAGUCUGGGAACCUGGCCAGAAAUGGUUGGGCAAACUGAUUCAUUGCCGUCGUGACCGGGAUCGGGGCUUGCAAUUGUUCCCCGUGAACGAGGAAUUCCUGGUAAGUGCAAGUCAUCAACUUGCGCUGAUUACGUCCCUGCCCUUUGUACACACCGCCCGUCGCUACUACCGAUUGACUGGUUUAGCAAAGUCAUUAGAUUGGCCUCAUAUGGUUGCCUUUGGCU
rnacentral:rRNA from 1 species